CCCUUAGAUGUUCUGGGCCGCACGCGUGCUACACUGAGUGGAUCAGCGGGUCAGGUUGCGCGAAAGCGUUUCCUAAUCUUUAAAUCCGCUCGUGAUGGGGAUUGACGGUUGCAAUUUUCUGUCAUGAACGAGGAAUACCUUGUAAGCGCGGGUCAUCAUCCCGCGCUGAAUACGUCCCUGCCCUUUGUACACACCGCCCGUCGCUCCUACCGAUUGAGUGGUCCGGUGAGGCUUUGGGACCUGAGCGGAAAGAGCGUUUCGCUGUUUCUGCUCGGAAAACUCAGUCGAACCUUAUCAUUUAGAGGAAGGAGAAGUCGUAACA
rnacentral:rRNA from 1 species